UGGUUUCCAUGUAAUUUUUAUCGAUAUCGAUAUUAUCCCGAUAUUUCCAUCGAUAUUUCCGUGUUUUCGGACUACCGAUAUUUCCGAUAUUACCGAUAUUUUAUUCCUUGGUUUUUACCAAAUAGGAUACCCUACUUUUAGUGUGACUCUCAUGGAAAAAGAAUUGUAACUAAAUUCUUGUGAUGAGCCCGUUAAGGAUUGGAUUUCAAACAUAACCUUUUGUUAAUUCUCCGUUAAAUAAACACAUGUGAAUUUUACGUGAAGAGAUUAAAAUUCUACUAUCAAACCAAAUUAAAAAACUUAGAGCAUGUGAACCCUAAGUAAGAUUCACUAUGAGAUAAAAUUUAACUGAAAUUCGAUUCCACUGAAAAGAAGCUUGAAGCUUCGCAUAUAAGAAUAAAAAUUCAUUGAGAUUAGUCAAUUCAUAUAUAAAAACGUCAUUUUACACAACACGAAAACGUCAUAAAGAUGGACCAAAAGCAAAGAAUGCAGUUUGCGCAGGAUUCAUCGCCAUGUGAUGGAGGAGAGAAGAAAAAGGUCCUCCAUAUUUCCGCGGGAUCCAUCACCCAAUCAAAUGGCUGAUAUGUUGGGACUUAGUUUUGUUCAAACAUUUUUAGGCAAAUUGAACAUCCAUGCAAUCAAGAGGAAUGGUUCAGACUAUGAUUUCUCUUAUUCGGACAUGAUUCUUCAAAAACAUUCCCAUUUUACCCAAUAAACUUUGCUCAACAAGUUACCAUGAGUAAUAACGUGCAAACAUUAUCAACAUCCAAUCCCCGUGUGAACGAGUUAAUUUUUUAUCUCUACGGCCUCUUUGCAGCAAAUAAAUAGCUUUAGCUUAUGUGGGGUUUUAAUAUUUAUGUAUCCUCUUCUGUUAUGUGAUCCAUCUACAUUAUGAAUACGUUUAUUGGUUACACCACAACAUCAAGUAUUAAUAAAUAUUCCUUCAUAUUACAACACGUGAAUUACUUAUAUUUCGUGAUGUGUAACCAUGUCAAUAUCACUCUACUCUUGUACGCUAGUCACCCAUGCGCAUAGUAGCCACACAACAGAAAUUUAUGUUCUAGUAAACUUCCACUAGUAAACGAUAUUGUAUGUGUAAAUUUUAACUACUUAAAACACAAGCCACUUGUAUACCGAAAAAAGUUUUUAUAAUCAUAGACUAGCCUAAA
rnacentral:lncRNA from 1 species